rnacentral:rRNA from 1 species
GAUGAACGCUGGCGGCGUGCCUAAUACAUGCAAGUCGAGCGAACAGACGAGGAGCUUGCUCCUCUGACGUUAGCGGCGGACGGGUGAGUAACACGUGGAUAACCUACCUAUAAGACUGGGAUAACUUCGGGAAACCGGAGCUAAUACCGGAUAAUAUAUUGAACCGCAUGGUUCAAUAGUGAAAGACGGUUUUGCUGUCACUUAUAGAUGGAUCCGCGCCGCAUUAGCUAGUUGGUAAGGUAACGGCUUACCAAGGCGACGAUGCGUAGCCGACCUGAGAGGGUGAUCGGCCACACUGGAACUGAGACACGGUCCAGACUCCUACGGGAGGCAGCAGUAGGGAAUCGUCCGCAAUGGGCGAAAGCCUGACGGAGCAACGCCGCGUGAGUGAUGAAGGUCUUCGGAUCGUAAAACUCUGUUAUUAGGGAAGAACAAAUGUGUAAGUAACUAUGCACGUCUUGACGGUACCUAAUCAGAAAGCCACGGCUAACUACG